GGAGAUUCCUGUGUGUCUGAGGCUUUCUGAAGGACUCUCUUUCCAAACCCAUGAGUGUUGUGUCUGCCUGCGUGCUGUAGGCCUCCAGGUAUCCUAGUGACUGUUGUGGGUGCUGUUACUUUUGGCACUCUCCGAGGCCCUAAGGAAGAGUUGUAAUUGUCCAUGGGUUGAAGUGGGAUGGUUCAAGUAGACAGUGUGAGCAGCAAAUUUUAACCUCCCUUCAGCAGAUCCCCAUGUCCAGAUCUGCCUCUCCAUCCCUAAGCAUAAGAAACCUUAUUUGCAAUGAAAGAUGACAAGGUACAGAGGCUGUAAAAAGGUUAUGCAAGAGCCUUGGCAGGUCUGUACACUUGUAUGUAUUGAAAGGAGCUCUGAGUCAUGACAAGAAGGGCAGAAGAUGUCAUAGGUUGUGCUACAUGUGAGCAAGUGUAUAUAGGUUUAGUUGGAUGAAAGGGUGCUGAGGUGUGUCAUUCAAAUGGGGCACCAAGAACUAGAGCUGUAGAAGCCAGUACUGAUCAGAUGGGAGGCACACAAAGUAGUGGUGUGAACCUCGCGUGGAACCUGUCCUAUGCAGUUUGUCCCCUGGGACUCCUAUAUGCAAUCACAAAAAUAUAAUAAAACAAAACAAACAAACAAAAAAAAAUAAUCAAGAAACAGCUGUGUCAGCACAAGAAAAAAAAACAACUUCAUUCUGCACAGGAUGUUGGUUUCCCUUUAUUGCCAGCUCCUCUGGAUUCAUAUCAGGAAGUCUGGAAGCUGCACAUCCCUAAUGAAAAGCAGAAUAUAUUCAUUAUUAAAUUCAAAAUGUUAAAUGCAAUUUGUUGCUAACAGAUUUCAAGGUCUGUUUGAGUGAUCCCCAUGCAGCAAAACCACUGCAAUACAAAAAGUGAUGAAGUGAUUCUGACUGGGGCUGGUGCUACAUGUGAUUGUACCAGAACUUGCUCUUGGUUUGCAUUUUGCUCUCUCCAAGGCUGCUGAUUCACCCUGAGUAUGAAAAGGCAAUUUCUGCCCUCAGAAGGGUGGCUUCUUUAUCUGCUCUUUCCUGCUGAGUUUAGCUGGAAGCUCAUAGAAAAUACUGUUUAUAUGCCUAGCGGCUGUUGGCGUCUUUGUCAUCAGUUGGGCACUGAAGUGAUAAUAGAUGAGUAUUAAUUUCUUCUAUUAAGGAAAAAAAAAAUGUUUAAUCUCCUACAUGUCUGUUUAGGGCUCAGUGUUUGAGAACAGAGGUACUACGAGCCUUGUCAUCGUGUCCCCUUUCUGUGCGUAGCACUGUGUCAGGAUCAGGCCCCGUUUCUCUUUCCAGUGUUUCGCAAGUGGAGACUUGAGUGCCUCUUCUCCAGGAAUGCUUAAGGAUCAUCAGACCCUCUUUCCCCAGACUUGCCUGCACACCAGGAAAAGCCUUUCAUUUCAUUAAGCAAUUACUUGGAAACAAAUCUUGGACUUUCAAACCACGCCAGGAAACUUAUCUUUCCCUCCAGGCUGUGGGUGCUCUUCAGGAAUUCAAAGGAAAGUUGGGUGCUUACAAGACAUUCCAGUACCCUCCUUUUAAGAACUGCUGUAAAACACGUCCGAGAAUCAAACCACUCAAGUUGAGAAUGCAAUGCACUCUAACUCAGCGAAGAUAAAAUAAAAGUGAGUAUUUAUGAAGUCUGACUCGACAACACAGUGGCAGGUGAAGAAAGGCAAGAAAAGGUCUCUUAAUCCUGUAAUCCGGAGACCAGACCUACAAAGUCUCUUUCCUCCCCUGCAUUUAAGUUCCUCUCAGGCAGCACUACUGGCAAGAUCUGUAGUGAGGGCCUGGUGCUACAGCUUGUCUGAAAGUGGGACUUCUGGGGAAAACAUAAUGGCAAUGCAAUCCAGACAGGCAAGUCUAGAGAGCACCAGCAGACAGCUUCAAUAUCCCCCUUUCUCUGCUCUCUGGGAAGCUUUAUUCAUGAAAUGCCUCUUAUUUUAAACUAAAGCAGUGCCUAUUAUCUGGUCUCCAGACAUCUCAGAACAAUGUUUUUCAACAAAGCUGUAAUCAAGAGCUCUGUACUUCUGCAGGCCUCAUGGCUCUCUCUAUUGCUGAAAAAUUGGGGGUUGCUUUUUAAGUUGCUGACUGGAAACAGGGGAUGUAUUUCCACUUAUCCCA